GACGAAAGUCUGACCGAGCAACGCCGCGUGAGUGAAGAAGGUUUUCGGAUCGUAAAGCUCUGUUGUAAGUCAAGAACGUGUGUGAGAGUGGAAAGUUCACACAGUGACGGUAGCUUACCAGAAAGGGACGGCUAACUACGUGCCAGCAGCCGCGGUAAUACGUAGGUCCCGAGCGUUGUCCGGAUUUAUUGGGCGUAAAGGGAGCGCAGGCGGUCAGGAAAGUCUGGAGUAAAAGGCUAUGGCUCAACCAUGGUGUGCUCUGGAAACUGUCUGACUUGAGUGCAGAAGGGGAGAGUGGAAUUCCAUGUGUAGCGGUGAAAUGCGUAGAUAUAUGGAGGAACACCAGUGGCGAAAGCGGCUCUCUGGUCUGUCACUGACGCUGAGGCUCGAAAGCGUGGGUAGCGAACAGGAUUAGAUACCCUGGUAGUCCACGCCGUAAACGAUGAGUGCUAGGUGUUAGGCCCUUUCCGGGGCUUAGUGCCGGAGCUAACGCAAUAAGCACUCCGCCUGGGGAGUACGACCGCAAGGUUGAAACUCAAAGGAAUUGACGGGGGCCCGCACAACGGUGGAGCAUGUGGUUUAAUUCGAAGCAACGCGAAGAACCU
rnacentral:rRNA from 1 species